rnacentral:lncRNA from 1 species
UAUGCUGCUGCUGCACCUUCUCUUUCCCUUUGUCUUUGUCUUUCUUCUUCUUCUUCUUCUUCUUACUCUUGUUUGUAAGCCGCAAGAGCGCCUUCUCUUCCUCUGUGGGUUCAUAAUCAGAAUCCGAAGACACGUGGAAUCUCCCCAUCUUUUUUUUUUCUUUCAGGGGAGAUCGAUAACCUAAGUCAAUCAUACAUGUAUAUAUAUAUAUGUAAAUUUCGACAACUGCCAUAAUUAAAUAUAGUGCUCUUUUUAAAUAGGUCAACUUCCUUCCUUGAUGAUUUGUAUUUUUGAAAGUGAAUUGCGAUGUUUCAAAUAGGACGUACCGUAUCUGGAUAUAUGUCUUCCCUUGAUAGAUUCCUAGCUAUGUGUUAAAUUGAUAAAUGGUGGCUCGAGUUUGUGCGUGGAUAUAUUAUCUGCAGAUUUAGAUAUGUUAUUUCCAUCUUAAUAAAAAAUGGCUGAUGUUGCAAGAAUUGAAUGAUGGCUAGAUGACAAAAUGAUGUUAUAACUUGUGUUUGCCUAUAUACAUAUGACUGGGCAAAAAGUGACUGCAAACAUAAUUUUCCAACUAAAAGAGAAACAAUAAGGUUUCGUAUAGGAAUAUUGAUCAUCCAUGGCCAAUACAAUAAUAGACUAAGCUUAAGCUAUUGCUCUUUUUCUAUGAGAGAGGCCUUUCAUCGCUUAAUCUUUCUUCAUGUCUCUUUGCUUACCAUCCUUACCUUCAAACACACACACACACACACAUAUAUAUAUAUAUAUAAAUAUUUCCGUGAUAUAAAAGAAAAUUUGUAUAUAUAGAAAAAUAUAUAAACUGUAAUUAGCCCUUACAUCCGUCAACAAAUUAGAAUAAGUUUGCUACCCACCAAAAUUCAGAAGAAGAAGAAAAACUGUUUCAAUCAGUAGCAGACCAUACAAUAGAGAAGCAAAAGUUUCACCUUUUUUUUACGAAUUAAAACAACAGAUCACAAAACAAGUUGAGUUGUAAGAAAAUAAAAAACAGAGGAGUAUAUAUACAUACCUGGGAUUAGCAAUAAAAUUGACGGCGAAGAAGAAGAUGGAGACAAGCUGUCUGUUGCAGUAGUUCUGCUUCACAGCAUUCUGCAACUCGAGCGCACCAAAACUAGACGACCCAC